UGGGGAAUAUUGCACAAUGGGCGCAAGCCUGAUGCAGCCAUGCCGCGUGUGUGAAGAAGGCCUUCGGGUUGUAAAGCACUUUCAGCGAGGAGGAAGGUGGUGAACUUAAUACGUUCAUCAAUUGACGUUACUCGCAGAAGAAGCACCGGCUAACUCCGUGCCAGCAGCCGCGGUAAUACGGAGGGUGCAAGCGUUAAUCGGAAUUACUGGGCGUAAAGCGCACGCAGGCGGUUUGUUAAGUCAGAUGUGAAAUCCCCGGGCUCAACCUGGGAACUGCAUUUGAAACUGGCAAGCUAGAGUCUCGUAGAGGGGGGUAGAAUUCCAGGUGUAGCGGUGAAAUGCGGUAGAGAUCUGGAGGAAUACCGGUGGCGAAGGCGGCCCCCUGGACGAAGACUGACGCUCAGGUGCGGAAGCGUGGGGAGCAAAACAGGAUUAGAUACCCUGGUAGUCCACGCUGUAAAACGAUGUCGAUUUUGGAGGUUGUGCCCUUGAGGCGUGGCUUCCGGAGCUAACGCGUUAAAUCGACCGCCUGGGGAGUACGGCCGCAAGGUUAAAACUC
rnacentral:rRNA from 1 species